CUUUAUUUGACACUGAACUAUUGAAAUGAAAAUCCACAAAACUCACAUCAAAUUUAACGUAGCAA